CCCUUAGAUGUUCUGGGCCGCACGCGCGCUACACUGAUGCAUUCAACGAGUUUCUUCCUGGUCCGAGAGGAAUGGGUAACCUUUUGAAAGUGCAUCGUGAUAGGGAUAGACUAUUGCAAUUAUUGGUCUUCAACGAGGAAUUCCUAGUAGACGUAGUUCAUCAGACUGCAUCGAUUACGUCCCUGCCCUUUGUACACACCGCCCGUCGCACCUACCGAUUGAGUGGUCCGGUGAAGACCUCGGACUGUGGCUGCGGUUGCUUGAUUGCGACUGUGUGCUGUGGGAAGUUGUCUAAAUCUUAUCACUUAGAGGAAGGUGAAGUCGUAACA
rnacentral:rRNA from 1 species